ACUCCUACGGGAGGCAGCAGUGAGGAAUAUUGGUCAAUGGGCGCAAGCCUGAACCAGCCAUGCCGCGUGCAGGAUGACGGUCCUAUGGAUUGUAAACUGCUUUUGCACAGGAAGAAACACUCGGACGUGUCCGAGCUGACGGUA
rnacentral:rRNA from 1 species